GUAAAGCCUAGACAUCCUCAAGAC
rnacentral:siRNA from 1 species